rfam:Plesiocystis pacifica SIR-1 1103186006204, whole genome shotgun sequence.
CCGAGGGCGACUGAGGGUCUGAAAGAAGCGUGAAACGAACCAGCGGGUCGACGCACAGAAACCGGAUCAGAGGCGGGGCGCCGAGGGCGAGCGUGCGAGUGAACGCGAAGCUCUUCGUGGCCGAACACGGCGUCACGUGCAUCCGGCGAUCGCGCUGGGAAGGCCGGUGUC